AGAAGUGUACAGCUUUGCGCAAGGGCAACUUCUCUGCAUGGCAGAGGUGAGGGGAAAUGAAAAUGAUGCUGGGACUAAGUGUCGCCUCUCUGAGAAGUGUCGCAGUCGCAGUCAUGUGGCAUGUCUGUUACAUUUCCCAGAAUGGUUCCCAGCGCUGGAGCUAAUUCCUUUUCGGAGAACCUACAUUUCUCACCUGCUGAUUGCAAUUAGCCACUGCCAGCUGGGGCCUGGUAUGCAGCGGAAAAGCUAACAAGAAGUAGAGACCGCGCGGAACCCAGACAGGGCAGAGGAUGUGCAUAAGUUUUGUUGAAACUGUCAACAGGGCAAGAGGUGAAUGCAGCAAAUCGUAAGGAGAAGACCUGAAUGAGGCAAGUGGCCACUCACCUUGUACCUGGGUCCCAAAUCCCCAGAGGCUCCAGGCUCAGCAACAGAUGCUCACAAUGAUGGCAACUGCUGAAGUUGAUGGGUAAUGAUUUUGCGGCAUCGUCUCCACUGACUCGGGCCCUCCUCCACCCUGGCUGCUGCUGAAGACCCCAGGAAGCAUGGCCCUGACCUCUGUUUAGUCUCCAUUCAGGAGCAGCCGGCCACCAUGUUGUAAGGCAACCCUGUGCCUGAGGCCAGCCAGCAGCCCUAAGAGUGGGCUUAGGAGCAGAUCCUGCCCCCACCGAGCCUGGAAAUGGGACUGCAACCCCAGUGAUACCUGGACUGAAGCCUCGUGAGGGACACCGAGCCAGAGAACCCAGCUAAGCCGCGUCCAAAUUCCUGACCUUCAGAGAUGGGUUUGGGCCUGAGGUGUGUGAUGAUCCCAUCUGCGCUCUUGUAUCUCACGAGGCCGAUGAAGCCGCACCUUCAGGACUGCUCACUUGCGUGGACCUCUUUUUUGUACAUUUGCGAAAGUACAAGUGCGGCGUGUGCUUGGACAACCCUCGGGCCCUCUACAUAUAAGCGAUUUAUAGCCGGGUCUGAAUGGAUUGGAAUCAGAUGGCAAAACCCAGAUUAACCCCCUGGAUCCUGGUGGCCAUUGGUCAGUCUUUGCUGUUAAUGAUACUUUCACCCGAGUGAAUGCAUUAAAGACGUUCCUUUUAAGAUAAAUAUGCAGCUCGGUCCCUGAUGUCUGCCUGUCGCAAAAACGUGUGAUGGGAGACCAAAUGUCAAUAAAAUCUCCCUGCCCGCCUCAACCCGGUACAUAAUCAGCUCGAAGCAAAGGAAUGCAAAGCCAGAGACGUUAGCGUACUCGCCAGAGCCACACCAGUAAUAAGAGGCAGAGCCAGAGUUGCAACCCAGUCAGCUGCGGCGUCUACCUCUCCCCAGCCUCCCAGCCUGGGAAAUUCAAGAAAUCGAAUGCAUCAUCUCUGAGGGGAAAAGGAGAUAAAGGUCCAGAACCCAUCCAAACGCUUCGUUUGGACCAGGUAAGUUUCAGAAUUGAGAGGUUUUCGGUAUUAGAAAGGUUAAGACCUGUAGAAAGCAUGUCUUAUGAAAUAUCUCCUGGCAGGUAAUCGGACACAUUAAUAUAAUAUUGCUGUGCUGAAAAUAUCGCACAAAGUGGGAUAAAUAACGACUCUCAAAAGCCUCCCAUCAGCUCAAACCAGGUGCUGCUGCCAAAUACAUUUGGGUGAAACUUAGACAAAACCUUUGGGUUUCUGUUGCAGAUAAGGGAUUGUGGCUCGGUAGUAAGGAGAAUUUCCAAAACUAGAGCCAGUGUGACAGGGGCGAGAAGGUGGAGGUUACUAAGCAUUUGCAAAAUAAUACAGCAGUGGGACCCUUCUGCCCAGCUCCUACCCAGGGCACAGUGACCAGCAGGGGGCCACCGGGGCCCCCCACUUCCUGAUAAAGUACCCAUGUCGCCUUAGAGCCCCUCUUGGUGUUACAAUCGAAACAUUAUGGGCAGUUGAAUUGUCCUGGGGAUCUUAUAAAAAUGCAGAUUCUGAUGCAGUGGGUCUGGGAUGGGGCCCGGUCAUCUGCAUUUGUAACACGGUUCGAUGCUGCUGGUCUGUGGAUGGCACUUUGAAUAGCGAUGCCGUAGAGUCGAUUCGAUCGAACCAAAGUGGAUCUCCAUAUACUUCCACCCAUCGGUCAUGACGGUCACAGGGAGUGUGUCCAGUUGCCCUCUAACUCAUCAGGUUGUGAUCAAGGGCCAGCAGGGAGAAAGUGACUGGGCAGGGUGGUGGGACUCAGAGGGGGAAAGACCAUCCUCCUUUGCGAGCAUGAAGACUUGAGUGAUGGAGCGAUCAGGACUGGAGAGCAAAUAAGAGCUUCCUGAGAGCAGAACAAAGGAGCAGAUACCCGCAUGUGACUGCUUAAUGUCCUCCUGUUGCUCUUGGACCCUAUGAUGGCCUGUGAAGAGCCCCAGGGCUGGCCUGGCAGAGGAAGAGAGCCACCCGAGCCAAGAUACCAGCUGGACGGACCCAUAAAUGAGCCCAGCUCAGACCCGAAGGAGCCACUGGCCAAGCCACAGACGAGUGAGCGAUCAUAAAUGGCCAUCCUUUAGAGCACUCAGUCUUGGGGUCGUUGGUUAAAAAACAACCACUCACCGAGACAGGUGCCACAAGCUCUUGAAUAGCAACGUUCUCACCAUCUUACCCCAGGGGGAUGGCACUGAAGAAGGAACCCAAAUUGAUGCAGAAAAUACCAGCCCCCCCAGCCCUGUGGUCCCUCCCCCUAAAUUUCCACCCUCAGCCUCCGAUUUUUCCCAUCUCUCAGCUACGUACAUACCUCCUCCAGGGACACAGAGGGAAGCCCUGGGGGACCUCUCCGUUCCUCGCCCUGUGGGCAGAGGGUAGGAAUAGCGAGCGGUCGCAAGGGACGGCCACACGCGCUGCGUGAGCUGGGAGAGGCGUGGGGGUGGAGGAAGACGCAGCCCUUGGGGCUAGUUGAUGCCUUUAAAACAUGCAGACGUACAGAGAGAACGAACGAGGCUUUUCUAUUAUAAAAUAUGUGCUUAGCAUAUUUAUGUAAUAGUUUCACCACGUGCAGUGAAUUGAGUUCCUGCAUUAGGGAAGGAGCUUUGCAUCGCUGCUUCGGACACACUUUGGCGGGUCCACAGCCUCUGUGCAGGUGGUCCGUAUGCACCAAAGAACCCCUGGUGGCUUGUGGGGGGCGGGGGGGUGGCCUGGCCACAGGCCGUGCCUGGUUUUUUAGCUUCACUUUGAGAAUCUCUCCUAGGUUGUCCCCCAUGAAAAACACACAUGAGGGUGUUUCGUGCAGGGAGCCCCCUUCAGGGCGCUGGUGGGGGUGGCGGCUGUUUGCUGGGAGCAGCCCCCAGAAAGAUGGGGUGCUGGAAACAUGGGAAGAUGGCCGCUGGGAUCCCGAGGGUCUGGCCUGGUGGGGCUUCAGGAUGGAGUAAGAUGCUACGAGAUGUGGGGUUCCGGUACCAUGUGGCCCAUCCCCCCUUUCUCCCCACAAAAGCCCCUUCCAUUUUCUUCUGACUCUUUUCUCCCCUUCUCUCCCUCCUUCUCUCUCAAUCUCUUUCCCCUUAACUUUUUCUAUCUUAAUUGGCCAUAACAUGGAAGUGAAAUUCUUUUUAUUAUCUACUAUAUUUAUUGAAUACAGUUUUAUGUUCCUCGCUCUUAAUUUUUAAAGUGGAUGAGCUGAACACUUUAUGGUUUUCUUUCAGAAAAUUUUAUAUCGCAGCGGUAGGCAUUAGGGCUGUUCACAAAUAGUCGGUUUGGGCUCAUGCCUGGGUGGGACACCCGCUCUUACUUGGGGGUUACCUCUCUGUGUGGGACUUCUUUGGCCCAGUUAAAUGUGAGCGCUCCCGGGGGAAGGGGGGGCGUGGAGCCUUGACAAUCAGCACCUUGCUCUCCUCCUGCUGCUGCGGUGAUGGGGUAGCUGAGGUGGGAGGUGAAAACUUUCUCAGCCUGGGGAUCUGAGUGACUGCGGGGGGCAUGGAACUUGAAUCAGGAGGAAGCUGUUUUAUAUUAAGCCACUGCAUGUGUUACCGCAGCCUCAUCUGACUUAUUCUGACUGAAGCAGUUAUUGUACCUCGCUUGACAGUCUUUUGUUUUAUUGCUUUUUAGGCCUGCACCUGUGGCACAUGGAGGUUCCCAGGCUAGGGGUCAAAUCGGAGCUGUUGCUGCCGGCCUACACCACAGCCACAGCAAUUCGAGAUCUGAGCCGCAUCUGCGACCCACACCACAGCUCACGGCAACGCCGGAUCCUUAACCCACUGAGCGAGGCCAGGGAUCGAACCCGCAUAUCCUCAUGGAUACCAGUCAGGUUUGUUACCGCUUAGCCGUGAUGGGAACUUCUGACAAUCUUCUCUAAUAAGAAAUCAUUUACGUGAUGCUAAAAUCAUUAUCUGUGUCAAUUUUUUUCACCUCUGCGGGGGCGGGGGGUCAGGAUUCCUUUGAGAAUCUGAUAAAAUGAUGAGCACCCUCCCCACUCCCACCCCCACCCCGGGGAAUGGACACGUGACAUUUUGCAUAUAGUCACAGGCACUGGUUCCCUCCAGAGUACAAAAGCCCUCUCCAGUCUGGGAAGCAGACGCUGGAUCCUCACUGCUCCUGCUGGGCAUGCGGGCUGGAGUGCCGGCAUCGAGCCUGCUUUCCUCCUGGUCCUCGCCUCUGCCUGCACAUCGCAGGCACAGCAUCCUGACGGUUCUAGCGGCGCCCUAAUGACAGAAGCUGCGCAUCAUUUCCAUUGCUGGAUCCGCGGCAAUCACUGCAAUGUAGAUCAUGAGGUUUCCAUGGAAGUUUCCUAGGGUUGGAAUGCACUUCUUCAGGGAUGUCCUUGGCAGCAGACAGGGCUUUGGACACUUCUGGGGCCACAUCUCAGACACCCCCCGCCCCCGGUCAAGGUAGAACUCAACAUAAAGACUGGCAGGGCGUGGAGGGGUUCGGCAGAAUGCAGUGGCAAAGCACUUGACCAUGACCCCGCAGGCUCGUCCUGGUGGGUUUCUCUGGGCCGAGAGCACUUCCUUGAUCUCUGCCACUCGCCCUACAUCUGGAAGAAUGCCUUUUUUCACUCCAACACACGUGACACCUUUUGGCCUUUCUGAAUGUCAGUUUCGUCAUUUGCACAGCUUCAAUCGCUGACUGAAAAAAAUUCACUUGCAAGCUGGUUGUUCAGAACUGGGAACGACGUCCCCCAUGAAAACAGCCUAUAAAAUUGUGGUCAUUCUCCUUAGACAAAUCCCCAAAGUCUACCAGAGGCAGCUGAGGACUACAAAUUUUGGAAGCCUAAAUGUAGGAGUCUGUGCAGUGUGACAGAAGAGAGGGAAUCUGCCUUCUUUUUUUUCCCCUUUUUUAGGGCCGCACCUGCGGCAUAUGGAAGAUCCCAGGCUGGGGAUCUAAUCAGAGCUACAGCUGCCGGCCUACACCACAGACAAGGUAACAUAGGAUCUGAGCCCCAUCUCUUGGCAAUGUGGGAUCCUUAACCCCCUGAGGGAGGCCAAGGAUCGAACCCACACCCUCACAGACACUAUGUCAGGGUCUUAAUCCACUGAGCCACAGCGGGAACUCUGGUAUCUGCCUUCUUAUCCAUUUUCAAUUUCUCAUCUCCCUCCCUUCAUCCAGAGCCUCGGUCCCUGUAAGCCUCUUCCCAUCCCCAAGGCACGCUAUUCCUAAAAUCACCCCUCUUUCUCCAAACUUUACUGUCUCAGCAUAGCUGAACCCAAAAAGGUAUUCAGAGGAAAGCCAUUUUCUUGGACUAAUUCUCACUAAAAUGUGAAGGGCUGGGAACUCCUUCAUCCUCUUGGAAGUGUUGCUGUUUUUAAGAAGAUAAAUCUCAGGGAGUUCCUGUUGUAGCUUGGUGGUUAAUGAAUCUGACUAGCAUCCAUGAGGACACAGGUUCGAUCCCUGGCCUUGCUCAGUGGGUCAAGGAUCUGGUGUUGCCGUGAGCUGUGGUGUAGGUCACAGACACGGCUCAGAUCUGGCGUGGCUGUGGCUCUGGCGUAGGCUGGUGGCUACAGCUCCAAUUCGACCCCUAGCCUGGGAACCUCCAUAUGCCAUGGGUGCGGCCCGAAAAAGACCAAAAAAAAAAAAAAAAAAAAA
rnacentral:lncRNA from 9 species